UACGUAGGGUGCGAGCGUUGUCCGGAAUUAUUGGGCGUAAAGAGCUUGUAGGCGGUUUGUCGCGUCUGCUGUGAAAAUCCGGGGCUCAACCCCGGACUUGCAGUGGGUACGGGCAGACUAGAGUGUGGUAGGGGAGACUGGAAUUCCUGGUGUAGCGGUGAAAUGCGCAGAUAUCAGGAGGAACACCGAUGGCGAAGGCAGGUCUCUGGGCCACUACUGACGCUGAGAAGCGAAAGCAUGGUGAGCGAACAGG
rnacentral:rRNA from 1 species